rnacentral:rRNA from 1 species
UGGGGAAUCUUGCGCAAUGGGCGAAAGCCUGACGCAGCGACGCCGCGUGAGGGAUGAAGGCCCUCGGGUUGUAAACCUCUUUCGGCAGGGACGAAGCGAAAGUGACGGUACCUGCAGAAGAAGCCCCGGCUAACUACGUGCCAGCAGCCGCGGUAAGACGUAGGGGGCGAGCGUUGUCCGGAUUCAUUGGGCGUAAAGCGCGCGCAGGCGGCCCGGUAAGUCGGAUGUGAAAUCCCACGGCUCAACCGUGGAACUGCAUUCGAUACUGUCGGGCUAGAGGCAGGUAGGGGAGAUCGGAAUUCCUGGUGUAGCGGUGAAAUGCGCAGAUAUCAGGAGGAACACCGGUGGCGAAGGCGGAUCUCUGGGCCUGUCCUGACGCUCAGGCGCGAAAGCUAGGGGAGCGAACAG